AAACCAACAGGGAUUGCCUUAGUAGCGGCGAGUGAAGCGGCAAGAGCUCAAAUUUGAAAUCUGGUACCUUUGGUGCCCGAGUUGUAAUUUGAAGAUCACAAUCUUGAAAUUGGUCCUUGUCUAUGUUCCUUGGAACAGGACGUCACAGAGGGUGAGAAUCCCGUGCGAUGAGGAUACCUUUUUCAUUUAAGAUGUGUUCGACGAGUCGAGUUGUUUGGGAAUGCAGCUCAAAGUGGGUGGUAAAUUCCAUCUAAAGCUAAAUAUUGGCGAGAGACCGAUAGCGAACAAGUACAGUGAUGGAAAGAUGAAAAGAACUUUGAAAAGAGAGUGAAAAAGUACGUGAAAUUGUUGAAAGGGAAGGGUAUUUAAUCAGACUUGGUAUUUAGCUAUCUCUUCUCCUUGUGGGAGGGGCUCUAGCUUUUUACUGGGCCAGCAUCAGUUUUGGUGGUGAGAUAAUCGCAGUUGAAUGUGGCUCCUCGGAGUGUUAUAGCUUCUGUUGAUGUUACCUACUGGGACUGAGGUCUGCGGCUUUGCCUAGGAUGCUGGCGUAAUGAUUAAACACCGCCCG
rnacentral:rRNA from 1 species